rnacentral:lncRNA from 1 species
AUCAACAAUGUUAUCUUGUUGUUCUAUGGAUGGUGAUCAGGGCUCUUAUUGGGCAUCUACUCAUAAACAAGUAGCAAGUCUUCAGUCUCUUUCUCAUGACAGUAGUUGAUGAGAUGCACUAGAUUGCAAUGCUGUACAUGGUUUAUGGUUAUGUUUUCACCAUAUUCAUAGCAAUGGUUAUGAUAUAACAACCAAUCAAUAAUAAGCCUCAAAAGACCAUUUAGUAACAUUUCUUUUGUAUGCCGACUUAGAGAUUUUAAAAGGAUGUCAACUUUUGGUCAAAUACCAAGAUACAAACUGGGAACAUUAUCUAUUGGUUGAUUUAUUUGGCC